GACGGAGGAUGCAAGCGUUAUCCGGAAUGAUUAGGCGUAAAGCGUGCGCAGGCGGUUAUGUAAGACAGGGGUGAAAUCCCCGGGCUUAACCUGGGAACUGCAUUUGUGACUGCAUAGCUAGAGUACGGUAGAGGGGGAUGGAAUUCCGCGUGUAGCAGUGAAAUGCGUAGAUAUGCGGAGGAACACCGAUGGCGAAGGCAAUCCCCUGGACCUGUACUGACGCUCAUGCACGAAAGCGUGGGGAGCAAACAGG
rnacentral:rRNA from 1 species